UGGGUACAAAUUUUUCGUGCCA
rnacentral:siRNA from 1 species